rnacentral:rRNA from 1 species
UACGUAGGUGGCAAGCGUUGUUCGGAAUUAUUGGGCGUAAAGGGCGCGUAGGCGGUUCGUUAAGUCAGUUGUGAAAACUCGAGGCUCAACCUCGAGACGCCGGUGGAAACCAUCUAGCUAGAGUCCGGAAGAGGAGAGUGGAAUUCCUGGUGUAGCGGUGAAAUGCGCAGAUAUCAGGAAGAACACCCGUGGCGAAGGCGGCUCUCUGGUACGUGACUGACGCUGAGACGCGAAAGCGUGGGGAGCGAACAGG